rnacentral:sRNA from 1 species
AGAAAGAAAUGCUGCUCCUAAGAAGAAGUCGUGUGGUUGCUAAUGAGAUCAUCGUGAUUUUAAUGGAUGGUGAUAGUAACUCUAGGAUUAUAUAAAGGUUCUGUGACAUUAGCCGAUAACAAUGGCAGGGUGAUCAAUAAAGAGUGCACCAGUGUAUUUCAGCCAAGCCAGGCAGCUUCACUCAUCUUUUAGCUGUCCCGUGAGGUGAAACAAACUUACCAUGAUCAUACCUCCUAUGUCUCAUGUUUGGUUUUGUUUAUUUUUAGUGGAAAGAGGCAAAACCUGAUGAAUUAAUGGAUUCCAAAUUGAGAUGUGUAUUUGAAAUGCCCAAUGAAAAUGAUAAAUUGAAUGACAUGGAACCUAGCAAAGCUGUUCCACUGAAUGCAUCUAAACAAGAUGGACCUAUGCCAAAACCACACAGUGUUUCACUUAAUGAUACCGAAACAAGGAAACUAAUGGAAGAGUGUAAAAGACUUCAGGGAGAAAUGAUGAAGCUAUCAGAAGAAAAUCGACACCUGAGAGAUGAAGGUUUAAGGCUCAGAAAGGUAGCACAUUCGGAUAAACCUGGAUCAACCUCAACUGCAUCCUUCAGAGAUAAUGUCACCAGUCCUCUUCCUUCACUUCUUGUUGUAAUUGCAGCCAUUUUCAUUGGAUUCUUUCUAGGGAAAUUCAUCUUGUAGAGUGAAGCAUGCAGAGUGCUGUUUCUUUUUUUUUUUCUCUUGACCAGAAAAAGAUUUGUUUACCUACCAUUUCAUUGGUAGUAUGGCCCGCGGUGACCAUUUUUUUGUGUGUACAGCGUCAUAUAGGCUUUGCCUUUAAUGAUCUCUUACGGUUAGAAAACACAAUAAAAACAAACUGUUCGGCUACUGGACAAAUUGUAUAUUACCAGAUCAUCACUAGCAGAUGUCAGUUGCACAUUCAGUCCUUUAUGAAAUUCAUAAAUA